ACAGCUUUGGACAAAAGUCUACAGCCCGUGCAUUUGAAACUCCCUGGCACAGGGGCUGAGUGUCCCUGGGGAGGACAUUUUACUCAUUUGCUCUCCCUUCCCACAGUCAGCUGGCCCUCUUCGCAGGUGUAGAUCACCUAUUAGAGUCCACCUAACUGCGAUAGUCUGCUGAGGAAAGUCCCAGGACUUAGCAGCCGGGGUAGGCCUCACUCAAAGACACCUCU
rnacentral:lncRNA from 1 species